rnacentral:lncRNA from 1 species
UUUUCCACAACUGCUCUUAUUUCUCCACCUUCUUUAUCUCCUCUGACAUCGGGUCGAGCUUUUUCGACAACAAUUAUAUUUUGGGUCCAUCGCCUUCAUAAUUCUUAAUUUGUCUCCAUCGCCAUUUAUUCUUAAUUUGUCUAUCGAUCUAUUUGUUUAUCUAUAGAAGUGAGUAUUUAGAAUCCUUUUUCUUCUACGAUUAAUAAUU